rnacentral:rRNA from 1 species
GAGUUUGAUCCUGGCUCAGAUUGAACGCUGGCGGCAUGCCUUACACAUGCAAGUCGAACGGCAGCAUGAUCUAGCUUGCUAGAUUGAUGGCGAGUGGCGAACGGGUGAGUAAUACAUCGGAACGUGCCCUGUAGUGGGGGAUAACUAGUCGAAAGAUUAGCUAAUACCGCAUACGACCUGAGGGUGAAAGUGGGGGACCGCAAGGCCUCAUGCUAUAGGAGCGGCCGAUGUCUGAUUAGCUAGUUGGUGGGUAAAGGCCCACCAAGGCGACGAUCAGUAGCUGGUCUGAGAGGACGAUCAGCCACACUGGGACUGAGACACGGCCCAGACUCCUACGGGAGGCAGCAGUGGGGAAUUUUGGACAAUGGGCGAAAGCCUGAUCCAGCAAUGCCGCGUGUGUGAAGAAGGCCUCGGUGU